rnacentral:rRNA from 1 species
GCUUACGACCAUCUCACCCUGAAUGCGCCCGAUCUCGUCUGAUCUCGGAAGCUAAGCAGAGUUCGAGCCUGGUUAAUACUUGGAUGGGAGACUGCCUGGGAAUACCAGGUGUUGUAGGCU